CAUCUGGAGAACGUGAUUGAUUGGCAUGUCCACACCGCGAAUGCUGAAAGGUCCUGGACACCCAAGCAUGGCCUGGGCUUUCAACACUUAAGUAGGUCAGGGCUUUCAGCUCUGACUCUGGCUCUGAUCCUAACCUUACGCAUGGACUGCCAUCCCACAUGCUUGGAAUCCACCCUCCCAUCACCUCUACCUUCAGAAUGCUCCCAGGAGCGAUGUUGGAGAUCUGUUUCCAGGAGACAGGAUCUCCUGGCGUCUCCCACAUUUGAUCUGGGCUCGCACCACGGGCUCACUAAACAUUGAUGUGGACAUGUGUUCUCCUCCCCACCCCCAUCCCUGCCACAGAACUUAAACUCUUUGAAAUCAAAGAAUGAUUCAUCUUUGUCUUGUCUCCCCAGUACAAUGUGUGGCACAUAUUAGCUACUGAAUAAAUCCUCCAUGAAUGGAUGAAUUAAUAAAAAGUCAA